AAGAGUCCGUAGAAAAUAUAAAAGAAUUCUCAUCUAUAUCCAAGUCUUGAAUAACCUAUCCUUGAAACAAAAAAUCAACUCCACAAAAUACAGUUCCUUCCGCCACCAAACAGUCAAAACCCCGCUCCAAAAUCAAUUUAUUUUCUUAUUUAAAACUGCUACGAACCAGCCUUUUAAAAGUAGAACAAAUGAAUCUUUCAUCUCUUCUCAUGUUUUUAGUUUGAAGUAGUCAGAGAUCUGACUUGAGAGUACGCCGUUUGAGGUCUACUGGCGACGGGUUUGUGUUCAACUACGACACUGCUUUCAUGUUGUAAACCAGUUGGAAAAUCUUUAUAUAUUGAAAGGUUUCAAAUUUUACAGAUUAAGGUGCAGUGAGCUGAGUUUAGCAUUGUUGGACAGAUUUCUAUAAGGUGCAGAUAGACAGGCUGACGGUCCCCCUUCUUAGGAUCCUUGCUCAGUAAGAGUUGGUGUGCUCCAUUUGAUCUGGAGCUGCUAUUAGGUUUAGGUACGAUAUUUUUGUAUACAUAUAUGGGUAUGACGGGACCUAGUCCUAUCCUUUAUAUAGUUGCACACUCUAUUAGAGGUUUGUAGACAAUCAUGUAUAGUUGGAUAGUGUGUGGCCUUGUCCGCUUCUAUUUUGAUGUAUAGUUGUCCAUAGCAGCCUUGUCGGCUCGCCCUGCCUAUUACACUAUAUAUAUGUA